CUGAAAUGUGUUCUGCUACACAACGGCAACCAGUUUGCCUCUAUACCCCUGGCUCACUCGAGUACACUGAAGGAGAACCAUGAAGCGGUGAAGUAUGUGCUGGAGAAAAUUGGUUAUGAUCAGCAUAAGUGGUUUAUUUGUGUUGACCUGAAGAUGGUGAACUUUUUGUUGGGACAACAGUCUGGUUUCACCAAGUACCCAUGUUUUCUGUGCAUGUGGGAUAGUAGGGACUGUGCUCAGCAUUACACGAAGAAGGACUGGUCUGUGCUGG